GCCCGUGUGGCGCAACGGUAGCGUGUUGGCCUCCUAACAGAGAUGUUUUGUAAGCCAAAGGCUGCGGGUUCGAGUCCCGCCUCGGGUU
rnacentral:tRNA from 1 species